rnacentral:tRNA from 1 species
GGGGAAAUAGCUCAGUGGUAGAGCACCUGCCUUGAUAGAGAAGUCCUAGGUUUAAUCCCUGCUGUUCCUA